CCUUUCAACGGACUUAUAAGGAUGCUUUGCAUACUUCGAUUCCACACACGUUUGACACUUUGAUUUAUUGCACUCAAAGUUUGGCAAAACUUCUAAGUUAAUCAGUUUUCGUAACGUUUUGUAAUUAACAUGGCCUAAACGUUCAUGCCAUAAAUCAUAAGACUCAAGCAAAUAAGACGAAUUCGAACUUUUAUUCAUUUCAACAGUCAUUACAUUCAUCUUAUAAAGGCCCUCCGUGAGAUAGCCUUUUUCUACAUACAUUUCUCCUUUGCUAACUACAAUUUUCCCAGAAACGGUUACACAUUUG
rnacentral:lncRNA from 1 species